rnacentral:rRNA from 1 species
GUGGGGAAUAUUGGACAAUGGGCGAAAGCCUGAUCCAGCCAUGCCGCGUGUGUGAAGAAGGUCUUCGGAUUGUAAAGCACUUUAAGUUGGGAGGAAGGGCAGUAAGUUAAUACCUUGCUGUUUUGACGUUACCGACAGAAUAAGCACCGGCUAACUUCGUGCCAGCAGCCGCGGUAAUACGAAGGGUGCAAGCGUUAAUCGGAAUUACUGGGCGUAAAGCGCGCGUAGGUGGUUUUGUAAGUUGGAGGUGAAAUCCCCGGGCUCAAGCUGGGAACUGCCUCAAAAACUGCAUGACUAGAGUACGGUAGAGGGUAGUGGAAUUUCCUGUGUAGCGGUGAAAUGCGUAGAUAUAGGAAGGAACACCAGUGGCGAAGGCGACUACCUGGACUGAUACUGACACUGAGGUGCGAAAGCGUGGGGAGCAAACAGGAUUAGAUACCCCAGUAGUCC